CGUGGAUGAGGCAUGCAAGUCGCGCGAGAAAGCACCUUCGGGUGUGAGUAGAGCGGCGGACGGGUGAGUAACACGUGACCGAUCUGCCCUUGAUCCUGGGACAACAGCGGGAAACUGCUGCUAAUACCGGAUGGUCCAUCUGGACUGCAUGGUCUGGAUGGUAAAGGUGGGGGCUCCUGCGGGACCUACCGAUCGAGGAGGAGGUUGCGGCCUAUCAGCUAGUUGGCGGGGUAAUGGCCUACCAAGGCUAAGACGCUUAGCUGGUCUGAGAGGAUGAUCAGCCACACUGGGACUGAGACACGGCCCAGACUCCUACGGGAGGCAGCAGUGGGGAAUAUUGGACAAUGGGCGCAAGCCUGAUCCAGCCACGCCGCGUGAGUGAUGAAGGCCUUCGGGCCGUAAAGCUCUGUGGGGAGGGACGAAUGGCGCCGUGAAGAGCGGCGAGUGACGGUACCUCCUUAGCAAGCACCGGCUAACUUCGUG
rnacentral:rRNA from 1 species